rnacentral:rRNA from 1 species
CAGUCGCCGCGGUAAUACGGAGGGUGCAAGCGUUAAUCGUAAUUACUGGGCGUAAAGCGCACGCAGGCGGUCUGACAAGUCAGAUGUGAAAUCCCCGGGCUUAACCUGGGAACUGCAUUUGAAACUGUCAGGCUGGAGUCUUGUAGAGGGGGGUAGAAUUCCAGGUGUAGCGGUGAAAUGCGUAGAGAUCUGGAGGAAUACCGGUGGCGAAGGCGGCCCCCUGGACAAAGACUGACGCUCAGGUGCGAAAGCGUGGGGAGCAAACAGGAUUAGAUACCCCUGUAGUCCCUGUCUCUUAUAA